CCUGAGGAGAAGAGGGUCAGCCUGAGCCUCGAGACUCUGCGGGCCCUGCCACCUCCUUUGAUCCCUGCCCGGGGACGUUGCUAGGACACGGUGGAGCUGUCCUGACCGCCCUCCAGCUCCAGGGCCUAGUAUCUGCUCCCUGAGCUGGAGGCCGCCCAGAGGAGCUCCGGGACCCCAGAAGGUGCCCAGUGGGGAGACCCACCAUGAGCACCGGUGCCCCCUCCUAAGCCAAGGAGCGCAGGACCGGAUGUGCGCAGGGGUCCUGCCCCCUCUGAGGACAACUGAGUGCCAGCACAGAGACGGUGGAUGGGCCGGCCCCGCUCACUGCACCGGCUCCCACUGUCAGGUAAGAAAGAUGCCUCGGGGGGCGGGGGGGAGGUCACCCACUGUGUCUUGCGGCCGGCAGGCUGGGGACCCUCCCGGGAGAGUGAGUGCUCCCGAGAAACCUGGAGCUGCCUGAGGAAGGAGGCCUGGCCUUGGCGCCUCUCACGGGUGAUGAAAAGAUCUGACGACGCGCAAAGCUAAGCUGUAAACACGCUUCAUAAUUUCUGCUCGUAAAAACGACACGUGGGAAGCGGCUGUAAAGCCACUUCUUAGGAACCAUCUCAGUCAGUCAGACAUAGUGUGUUGACAAGCCAUUCUCACACAGAACGCAAGCACCGUGACUCAGACAAUUAAGGCCAUCUCUCGCCCAUGCCCUGGCUUAUGCGCUGGAUGCUCUAUCUUUGCUCCGCCCCAGAAGCAAACCUCCAGAAGGCCAGGGACCUCUGCCAGGCGAGGACUUGGGAUAGAGCGUGGCACAAGACACCGCAGGCGGACGGCUCAAGGAAGGGAGAACAGGGCUGCCCUGAGUCCAGAGAUGAAAAGCAAGUUUGUUUCCAGCCAAGAGGCAGGAGGGCCGGGAAGAGGUAUCUGGCCCCCCACACAGCCCCUGCCGACUGUGGCCCCUGGCCCCCCAAUCCUGGGAAGCCAGCAACUGGCAGUUUAGGACUCUAGCCAACCCCGGAGCAAGGAGUAGCAGACUCCUAGCAGGCACGUGGUGCACCCAAGAUGCCUGCAAAGGGGGAAACUCCCAAGGGGACAGAGAGGCAGGAGGUACCCAGAGGGGAGCCCUCAGAGCACAGGGACGAGCCACCGAGCAGCAGGUGUGGGCCAGCCGGAGGUCAAGGGGGCGGGAAGGGGCCUGGCUAGAGGUGCCACCCAACCCCAGGGGAUUUGUUUUCCCAUAUGACACCAUCCAGGGCCAGAGCACGGCCCCACCCCCCACAUGACAACAUUCCUAUCCAGAAUGGCAACAGGUGAAUGUCCCUGUCCACAGGAAUGUCAGGCAGGGGAAGGGACAGCAUGGAGACAAGGACGGAUGUCCGGCUGCCUCCCUGAGACCUAUCAACUCCCCCGUCUCCCGCUGCACACCAGCAAGGCACUCGAACUUAAAAAGAGCCAUCAAGGAGGCUGACUGGGCACUAUACGCUCAUAAAAGCCAGGUGAGAAUCAGGGCAGGAGUUGCCACCCCCACAGGGGAGGGGACAGCCAAGGUCAGACAGCAGGUCCAGACAGGGCUGGAGCCACCAGUGCAUCCUGUGCAUACCCCAACCUGACCCAUCAGAGUGGACUGUGGGGUGGGGAGCAGGAACCAGGGUUGGCAGAAAAAUGGGGAAGAUUCCAGAAGGACCAGGGAAGGACCAGGGAAGCAGCAGGAGCAAGCAGCCAGCUCGUGACUGUGCACAAAGGGAGGACUCCCUGAGCGCAGGCCACACGCCUCCCCUCUCCUGGCGGGCAGGGCUUGGUGCCCAGUGCUCACUCUGGAGGGCCUCGGCCCUCCUCAGCCAGGCUUUGCUCUCAGGAGAGCAGAGGGUCACAGCAGCAAGGGUCCCUCGCCUCCAGCCCUAACCACAAACAGCUGUGCUGAGAGCCACACAUGGACAGACACUGGGAGACCGCGCCGGCUUACCCACGAUGUCGGGUGCGUGGCUGAUGUCUGUCGUUAAUGCGGCCGUCUCCACCACGAUGUGGGCCACCGUGAUGGGCUCCUCCGGGCCGGCCACCGCUGGCACCACCUGCCAUGGGGGGACAGGGGACAGAAAGGAUUCUCCUACAGGGCUCCAGAGUUCCCUUGGCUUGGAGAGGGAAGGCUUGGGUUUAUCUCCACAUGGGAAGGCUGCGGUGGGACCUGUCAUCUCCCCCGACAUCUCUCCCACCCUAGUCCCUCCAACCCAGGCCUAAGGGGUCAGCCCCGUCACUCAAAUGCCCCUGGCCACCAUGGGCCAGAUGCAGAGCAGCGAGCACCCUUGCAGAGGGCUCCCGGGAGAAGUGACCGGCAGUUCCAGCCCGAAGCCCAGCUGGCUGUGCAGGCAUGAAGGUCAGCACCCUCACCCACCAGCCCCAGCCAAGCUAUCAAGCGAUGUGGGUCCAGGGGCCUUCCUAGGGGAAAGGGCACCACCGGGAGGGGCCAGGAAAGAGCACAGGGUCUGAGGGAGAUGGCUGUAGUCCCACCGUCCUCUGGGCCAUUCCCUGUGACGAGCUGAGGCGGCUGACAUCUCCCAGAGCCUCCUUUCCCAAUGCCAUCCGACGAGGGGCCCGAGAACACCACCGUGCAAAGGUGCUGGGGACCUUCAGAGGCCUGGAUGCGUACAGCCCAAGCACGUGCAGCAUGACAACCUUGGCCAUGUUUAUGACAAAGUGGCAGGACUCCCAGAGCCACCCUUUGCAGGAUCCCGAGAAACCAUGUGUCAGGGGUGCCUGGGCGCUCAGGUGGUUGAGCAUCUGACUCUUGUUUCGGCUCAAGUCAUGAUCUCACAGUUGGUGAGUUCAAGCCCCACGUCAGGCUCUGUGCUGACAGUGCGGAGCCUGCUUGGGAUAUUCUCUCUCUCUCUCUCUUCCUCCCCCAGCCUCUGUCUCUCUCUCAAAAUAAAUAAAUAAAUUUUAAAAAGGAAAAGAAAAAGAAACCGUGCGUACAGGGCAGGAGAGAAGCCAAAAGAACAAAAGCCACCAUGACAGCCCUGAGCCACUGAGCCAGGACAGACCCUGAGGCUCCCUCCAAGAAAGGAGGGAUGUCAAUUGUGCAGGCUUCAGCCAGAGGCUGCUGGGAAGGCAGGGCCAUCCCAGGCCAUCCAGGAAACCAGGGAUACUGCCAAGCUCUUAGGGACAGGGCCCAGGCUCCCUCACCCAUGACCAGAUGCCUGUCCUCUGUCCACCCCCGUGCCACAGGGAACCGGCUGCACAGGUCUGUCAGGGCACGGCACACCCCUUCCCAGCCACCAGGUGAGCCCAAGGAGGAGGGCGCACAUGUGCGUGGACGUGUGGUGGCAGGUGGAGAGGGCUUACCUCCUGGCCCAGCAGCGCAGCAGCAGCAGGGGCGGCAGGCAGGGCCUCCUGAGGGGCCCGCUGGCAGACUUUCUGGAGUUUGUGCUGAACAAAGUCUUCCAAGGCAGUGAACUCGGCCUGGCAGCGGCCACAUCUGUGCACAUCGUCCUCAUCUGCAACAAGCCUGUGCUCAGUGGGGCCUGGGAGGGCCUCCAGCCCCAGGCCAAACCCACCGAAGGGUGCCAUCGGACCACAGGCACCUUCCAGCCCCUGGUGACCUGCGGAAGAGGUGCCCACCCCAGGGAGAACAGCAUCCAGCAGGUGGGGGCCCCAACCUGAGAGUUGGACUGCAGAGAUCCAGUGAGGCUGCCGUGCCCAAAGCCCCCACUUCAGAGAUGAGGGGACAGAGCCCCAGGGAGCAGCUAAGAGGUGGAGGGAUUCACCCAAGCCGGUCUGGGGACAGUGGAGGACCAGAGUUUAAGAUUGCUUCAUCGGCUCCGAACGGGCAGGAGCUCCCUCUUCUGGAGAAGACACUCAGGGUGGAACUUCCCAGAGAGGCUCCACACCCCAGGCUCAAGUCCCUCACCAUGUAGGCUGACCAUGCCUGCCCCAGGUCCUACAGCAGGCACUUCCCACUCACUGAGCCCCUCCUGGGUGCCAGGCACCUCACUGGGGAAGUCCCCAAAUCCAGCCAGCGCCCUGGGGAAAUAAGGAUGACUAUUCUCAUUCCAGGAAAAUAGUGCUCGCUUCGGCAGCACAUAUACUCAUUCCAGGAAAAGGACCUGAGAUUCAAGACCACCCAGCUGGUGAGUGUUCGGGCCAGAGUCUGAACCUGAGGGUCUACUCCAGAUGCCCCGCUAUUUGCACAAAGGGAUGGGAGGAUGUUGCUUGUGCUUCUGUAAAAGUCUGCCAGUUCCCACCACCUCACAUCCGGUCCCACAUCAAGGUCAAACCCAGGCCUGGCACACGGAAGGAGCCCAGUCCAUGUCUUUUGACUCAGUGAGCAAACAGAGGCCCACACCACACCCAUGACGGGCCCACACAAGACCACCUGUCAGAGGGCGAUCCCCUCCAGAUGGUUCGCAGUCACAAGCGAAGCACUGACGUGCCCACCACCCUUUUAACCUUCCCCCCUUGCUCUCCAAGUCUGACUCGCUGUUGCCAGCGAAGGAACACCCACCACAGAAGGGGACACACUCCGCCCCGUGUAACAGUGACAAGGCUGGGGGCAAGCACAGCAGGGCCCAGCAACCUCCGAAGAGAUCCCUCUCCAGGCUGGCACUGCCCCUAGUGGUACUGCCCCUCCCCCAGCUGGAAUAAGAAGGAGCAAGGAAAAACCAUGCGCUGAGAAUAGGAGUUCUGCGGAGACGGGGGCCACUACCCCAAUAUCGCCAGCCAGCCCCCCUCCUGUCUGGCCCAGUCUAUAGCCUCACGAGACAAGCUCGGAGGAGAGAGACCCAACUUCUGUCUGCACAAGCUGUCAGGGCGCCCGGUCGUCGGCUCUGCCCUCAGCCAGUUGCCACGGGCUCCGUCUUCCUUCUCACCGGGGUCCGGGGAGGCAGCGCAGCCGAGAAGUUAGGGGAGUCGGUUGAGGAGUCACACAGCCCCGGCAUCCAGUCCAGUCCUUGCUACUUACUAGCUGGGUGACCUGGUCACCUUCACACCUUUGAACCCCAAUUUCCCGCAUCCACAAAAUGGGAAUGAGUCACAACAACAACAACAACAACAACAACAACAACAACAAGAGCGUCCAGGGUUGGUUUGAGGACAAAAACGCUGAUGCCGGGUAAGUGCUUAACACGUUUUUAGCAGCAGCAGCGGCGGCGGCGGCAGCAGCAUCCCCUGCCCAGGACCAAACAGCCAGAAAGUGGCGAAAGUGGCAGGUGUGGGAUGGAGCCCGCAGGCCGGCUGCAGGGCACCGGCUCUCCACCACUGGGCUCUGCUGCCUCCCCGAGGGGCAGCCGGGGGCCUGGGGGCGAGGCCCCGCCCCACCGCACCCCCAGCCUCCAGCCCCACCCCAGCCAGGGCUCUAGAAACCCGUCAGGUGCAUUGGGAGGGGGCCCAGAGGAGGACGGGGCCUUGCCCAGACAGGGAGGCGAAGAGGCGCCUGACCGCCGGCCUGAGGGCCAAGGCCGCCAGUGGAGGCGACGGCAGAGGUCUACACACGAGCAGCCCCACAGCCUUGGGCACCUGUGAGUACCCGCGAGUGGGCACCGAGGCCCACGGGGUGAUGGGCGUCCCACAGGAGAGGCCCGAGGGUCUGAGGAAGCCGGGGAGCGCGUGGAGGGCCAUGCAGGACCCCUUGGGGACCCGUGAGGUCCGCAAGGAACCGGGGUCUGGGACGGUCGGUCGCGUCCACAGCUUAGGCCCUCGGAGCCGCCUCCAACCAGGACUGAGCCGUCCCCACCCCGGCCGCGCCCGACCCUGUCAGGCCCCGUCAGGCCCUGUUACCUUCUUCGCUAAAGGGCGCCGGGAGGCCGAGGAACCCGCCAGGAGCCAAGGCCGCCGCCGCCGCCGCGACCCCGCCCUCGCCCGCCUCCCGCCCGGCUUCGGCCCGGGCUUCUGCCGUAUGCGCGGCCGUCACCCGCACUGCCAUCGCGCCCUCCAUGUCGCAACGCGCCGCAGGAAGAUGGCGGAUUUACGACCGUGUCGUCAUAACAACGGGCCGCGCUGAGGCGAGCGAGAGAAAACGACGAGACGAGGCCGACGGGGCGGAGCCAGGUGAUAUUUAAUUAGCUCUAUGAAGCUAAGCACUUUACAGGAUUUUCUCAUUUAAGUACCAAUCGCCCCCAUUUUGAAGAUGAAGAAACUGAGGCACAGUACUGAUAGGACGCUUGCCCAAGGGCGGACUGGAGACGGAAGUCUGCACAGAGCCAUGGGCUGGAAACCCACAGGAUGUGCUCUCUCCCACAUCAGUUAUCUUCUGUGGCCCAGCCCUGUGCUGAAUCCCAGAGACUCAGAUGAAUCAGAACUGGUCUCCUCCAGGAAGGCUAAUCUCUAGAAAAGACCAAGCAGAGACUCAAGGGACGGGGCAGAGAGUAGACUGUUCUGCCCCGGCAAGGACACCAAGCAGAGACUGUCUCCAUGCUGGGGCUGCCCAGCUGGGCCCCCGAGGACCCUUGGCCUGGCAGAAGCUGGCCUGUGUGAAGCACAGGUCAGACGGUUGCUUUCUGCAUGAGGCUUGCUCGCCAAUGCAGGGGGAUAGGCAGACGGUGUGAACGCAUUUCAAAAGGAUCCCUCUGACUGCUGUGCGGAUAAAAGGACCUCAGGGCCCAUAGAGGCAAGAAGAUCCCAGAUGGAUGGUCUCUGAGAGGGACAAACCGGAGGAAGACCGGGGGCUGCGGGGAGCUUGUGGAGGGGGCUUCUGGGAAGGGAGGACCAGGAAGACACCUCACUUAAGGAUGUGCUGAAGAGUAAUGGUGAAGCCAUCAGAGAGAGAGAGGAAGCCCCAGAGGAAUGGGAUAGGGCAGGGUCUCAAAGGCAGAGGACCCCCUGAGUGUGGGUGGACACGAGGAGGAGCCGGCCCAGGGGAGACAGAGAGCCUGACUGCCGCGUGCUCCAGAACCGUGUCCGGAGCGGACCAAAGCUCCUGCCUGGAGGCUCCCUGGGAGUCAGGAAAGGGCAUCCUGCACCAGUGAGUCCCAGGUCCUGCGUUAGCGAGAGCCCAGGCAGGCCAGCGGGUACAGGGGCAGACAGGCCUAAGGUCACUGAGAGGCAGAGUGGCCAGAGAAAGACAGGAAAACCGGAGUCCCCACGCCCCCAAACAGCCUCCUCCCCGACCCAGCCCUCCGCGGCACGGGCUCCAGCGGCACCCUGUGUGUUUUUAGAGUCAGUGCUGUGCUGACCUGCCGUGGCCAGAGCCACGGAGACUCCAUCACCCUUUAUGAGGACUGCUCAACCUCUGUUCUUUGAUGGACGUAUUGAACCAGUCCCAUGCUGAAGAAUAUUUAGCUUGCUUCCGAAUUGUUUUGUGUGCCACUUGAGUCCUUUUGAAAUGACUCCCUUUUUUACUUCGCUCAUUGGAAGCAAUACCAUCUGCGAAGACAGAUUCAAUGGCUCCUCGCAUUUUCUAAUACAACUUUUUUCAUGUUUGCUUAUUUAUUUUGAGAGAGAGAGAGAGAGAGAGUGAGCAUGCAAGCAGGGGAGGGGCAGAGAGAGGGAGAGAGAAAGAAUCCCGAGCAGGCUCCUCACUGUCAGCGCAGAACCCCACGUGGGGCUCGAUCCCACGAACCAUGGGACCAUGACCUGAGCCGACAUCAAGAGUCAGACCCGGCCUGCUGAGCCCCCCGGGCACCCCCAUUAGUUCCUAAUACAAUUUAAAUCCAUGCAAGGCUGUUAAAAUUAAAUAGCGUCUGGUGUUUGUCCUUGUACCAUCUAAAUCCGUGCCCCAUAUAGCCCGCGGGGGGGAGGGGGGCUUCCUCACUUUGGGGAACCCUGGCGGCAUCCAUUCGCAGAUAUACACUGAACGUCUACCGUGUGUCGGGAACACAUCAUGACCAUGAUGCACUCCUCCCCCAUCUAUACAGGGCACCUCACUCAAGGUCAGCCCCCCUGCCAUAAAGUGCACUGUCCCUUCCGGCCUCCUGCAGGACCAUGACCACAACCACCUCCCCUCUCGACACUGGCCGCCCCACCUUUCCCAGUCCCUACAACCCACAGGACGUGUCAAACCAAUCAGGUAUGGCAGAGCUCCACUUUGGAGUCAACUGAGUUUGAUCCCAACCCUACCUCGUCCAGCCGGUGACUCUCUCUGGCUCAGUUUCCUCAUCCACGAAUGGGGACACUACUAGCCUCUGCCUCUUAGGGCUGUGAUGCAGGUGAGGAGCAGGGCUCAGUGCCUAGAUGCUUACCAGUGCCCAGGAGACCAAGGCACCCGGGCAGGUAUUGCACACGCUGGCCCAUGGCUGCACAGCAACAGCACUGGCCAGUGUACCAUAUACCCUGGAUGCUUCUGGGUGAAAGCAGUAUUUCUGAUCCUCUGUCUAAUCCAGCUCUUCCCCGCGUCAGCUCCACCACCAAAACUAAGCGGGAAGACACAGGGAGGAAGGUGCUCCCCUUGUGGGCAGUGGGUGCACCAGGCAGGAACACUUUGCAUGCCCUGCCUUUGUGGGCCACGGCCCCUCCAAUCUCCUCCAGGGGUUCCCAGGCCAACAGAGACCAGCAGAAACGAGCCACGUAUAAAUAAACAGGGCCCUAAGGGAACUGAGGUCACUGGUUUUACCUCAUGGGUUUGGGGGUGGGAGUGGGUCCAGAGCAGACUUUAUGGAGACCUGGGGCCCAAGAGAAGAGCAGGAGUUUGACACUCUGGGAGCUGGGGGUCUGGGGCACCUGUCACAGGGUAGGCUUUCAAGAAACCGGGCCCUUUGUAAUUCUGCUCCCUGGCCCUACUGGAAGUAAUAACGAUAAACAUACACCUACCUGUGAACUUGCAGUUCCGAUCGCAAUUAUAUUUCACCCAAGAGAAAUGAGUGCCUGGGUCCACAAAUGAGUGUGUAGGAACCAGAAUGUUCACAGAAGUAUUAUUUACAAUGCUCCUAAACUGCAAACGACCCAAUGUCCACCUACUGGAGAACAGACCGACGGAUGUAUUCUUACAAGGGCUCACAUGGCAAUUAAAACAACAGAAAAGGAUGGAUUUCCCAGACAUUGUGUCGAUCCAUAGCAGCGAGACUCAUGGCAAGUCUGUGAGACCAUCUGGAACAGGCAGAGGAGGCUAUGACUCAUCCCAUGGUGACAGAAGUCGGAAAAGUGGUUGGGGGAGGGGUAUCCGCUAUUGACUGGCUGAGGGACUGUGAGGGAACUUUCUGGAACGAGGGAAAUAUCCUCUGGCUUGAUGUGGGUUGUGUUCACACAGGCGUAUAGGUAUGGAAAAAUCCAUCAAGCUGCACACUUAAGGUCGAUGCACUUUUACUGUGUAUGAGGUCUCAAUAAAAGUUAACAAUGAUACCAAAUAAGAUGAUGGUAAGUGCUGUGUUCUACGCAGUGUCUUCUUAACCCCUAAACCUGCCGCCUUGUAAUAACUCGUUCGCAUGACCACUAAGGCAAUCCCGCCGCCUUAUAAUAAAUAACCCGUUCACAGUACCACUAAAGCACAGGGAGAGCGUUUAAAAAAAAAAAACAAAAACAUUUUUUUAUUUUACACUUAUUCAUUUUU